rnacentral:piRNA from 1 species
UAGUGUAAAGGUUUUUCUAAACCAAGGUC